GGGUAAGCUUGCUCCCUGAUGUUAGCGGCGGACGGGUGAGUAACACGUGGGUAACCUGCCUGUAAGACUGGGAUAACUCCGGGAAACCGGGGCUAAUACCGGAUGGUUGUUUGAACCGCAUGGUUCAAACAUAAAAGGUGGCUUCGGCUACCACUUACAGAUGGACCCGCGGCGCAUUAGCUAGUUGGUGAGGUAACGGCUCACCAAGGCAACGAUGCGUAGCCGACCUGAGAGGGUGAUCGGCCACACUGGGACUGAGACACGGCCCAGACUCCUACGGGAGGCAGCAGUAGGGAAUCUUCCGCAAUGGACGAAAGUCUGACGGAGCAACGCCGCGUGAGUGAUGAAGGUUUUCGGAUCGUAAAGCUCUGUUGUUAGGGAAGAACAAGUACCGUUCGAAUAGGGCGGUACCUUGACGGUACCUAACCAGAAAGCCACGGCUAACUACGUGCCAGCAGCCGCGGUAAUACGUAGGUGGCAAGCGUUGUCCGGAAUUAUUGGGCGUAAAGGGCUCGCAGGCGGUUUCUUAAGUCUGAUGUGAAAGCCCCCGGCUCAACCGGGGAGGGUCAUUGGAAACUGGGGAACUUGAGUGCAGAAGAGGAGAGUGGAAUUCCACGUGUAGCGGUGAAAUGCGUAGAGAUGUGGAGGAACACCAGUGGCGAAGGCGACUCUCUGGUCUGUAACUGACGCUGAGGAGCGAAAGCGUGGGGAGCGAACAGGAUUAGAUACCCUGGUAGUCCACGCCGUAAACGAUGAGUGCUAAGUGUUA
rnacentral:rRNA from 1 species